UUUUUUUUUUGCUUUUUUAGGGCCACAUCUGAGACAUAUGGAGGUUCCCAGGCUAGGAGUCAAAUUAGAGCUACAGCUGCCGGCCUACACCACAGCCACAGCAAUGCGGGAUCCGAGCCUCGUCUGUGACCCACACCCCAGCUCACUACAACGCAAGAUCCCUAACCCACUGAGUGAAGCCAGGGAUCAAACCCACAACCUCAGGGUUCCUAGUCAGAUUCCUUUCUGCUGAGCCACAACGGGAACUCCUAGUAAUUGUUUCUUAUACCAAAUGUUUAUUCAUUUAUGAACUCUAAAUAUACUGUUGUGUCAUAAAUGGAUUGUACCUCUGUUUUAUUUCUGGAAUGGCCCUAUGAAUUAAAUAGAAUGUGAGGUUUGGGGUAUCAUAUUUUCCCUUUUAAUUUCUGUAGUCCUCCAGAGGGUAUGGUAUCUUGAUGCAAAGUUCUUAUAUGUGAGUAAUGCACAUGAGCCAGAUUCGUGUUCUUAUGUCAUUAAUUAGACUACAUUUCAUGAUAUGUUAUUAUGGUUCUUACUGUUUAAAUUUGAUUCGAUUCAUAGAUCUUUAAAAUAUUUAUCUCUGUGUCAGGAUUACCUUAUUAUUUUCAAGCAUGGUACAUAAAAUGAUAUUUUUGCCAGAUAAUUUUUUUUUUUAUUGGCAUAUAGUUGACUUACAAUGUUGUAUUGGUUUCAGGUGUAUGGCAGAGUGAAUCAGUCAUACAUAUAAAUACAUCCAUUUUUUCCUUUAUAAGUUAUUAUAAACUAUUGAGUAUAUUUUCCUGUGCUAUAUAGUAGGUUCUCAGUAGUCAUCUAUUUUAUAUGGUAAUGUGUAUAUGUUAUUCCCACCUUCCCAAUUCUUCCUUCCCCCCAAUAGUUUCACCUAUAGUAACCUUAAGAUUUGUUUUAAAAUCUGUGAGUUUGUUUCAGUCUUAUGUAUAAAUUCUUUUGUAUCAUUUUUAUUAGAGUCCACAUACAAGUGUUAUGCUAUUUGUCUUUCUCUAUCUGACUUACUUCACUCGGUAUGAUAAUCUCUAGGCCCAUCUAUGUUGCUGCAAAUGGCAACAUUUUAUUCCUUUUUUAUAGCUGAGUAAUAUUCCAUUGUAUAUAUGUAUCACAUCUUUAUCCAUUCCUCUGUUGAUGGACAUUAGGUUACUUCCAUGUCUUGGAUUUUGUAAAUAGUAUUGCCAUGAAUAUUGAAGUGAAUCUACCCUUUCAAAUUGUGGUUUUCUCUGGAUAGAUGCCCAAGAGCGGGAUUGAUUGCUGGAUCAUAUGGAAGUUCUAUAUUUAUUUUUUUUAAGGAAAUUUCAUACCUUUCUCAUAGUGGCUGCACCAAUUUAUAUUCCUAUUAACAGCAUAGGAGAGUUCCCUUUUCUCCAUACCCUCUCCAGUAUUUAUUGUUUGUAGACUUUUUGAUGAUGACCAUUCUGACUGGUGUGAGGUUUUGAUUUGCAUUUCUCUAAUUAUUGGUGAUGGUGAGCAUUUUUCAUGUGUUUUUUGGCUGUCUUCUAUGAAGAAAUUCCUAUUUAGAUCUUCUUCCCAUUUUUGGAUUGGGUUUACGCUGUUUUGGGUUUUUCUGUUUUGUUUUGUUUUUGAUAUAAAGCUCCAUGAGAUUUUUGUAUAUUUUGGACAUUAAUCCCUUGUCAGUCACUUCAUUUGCAAAAAGUUUUCUCUCAUUCUGUGGGUUAUCUUUUCAUUUCAUUUAUGGUUUCCUUUGCCAUGCAAAAGACUUUAAUUAUGUCUCAUUAGUUUAUUUUUGUUUUUAUUUUCAUUAUUCUAGGAGGUGGAUCAGACAAAAUACUGCUGUGAUUUAUGUCAAAGAGUGCUCUGCCUGUGAUUUUUUGAAGUGAUUAUUGAUCUUUUUACAUGUUAACAAUAUUCAAUUCAGUGAAGUGCAAUAUCCUGUGAUCAUUCUUCAAAAUAGUUGACUUAUAUUACUUUAAGUUUUGAAAAUUCUUUAUAGUUUUAGCUGUUUAUAACUUUAGGAAUUUGCUCAAUCUGCUAAAACUGUGAAGCAGAUAAAUUAUACCUCUUUUUUGGCUUUGUUCUCUAUUUUUGCUUUUCCUUUUAACCUGCAGUUGACUAAGAAAGUUACCAUCACGCCGCUUGCAUUAAUUCUUUCUACAGUUUAUUUUUUCAAGGCAUUUUGAUUCAUAACAGUGAUAUGAUGAAGGUGCCUUAGGAUCAAAGAGGAUUUCAAGGCUAUUAAACAUACCUCUGCCUCCAGAACCCCAGGUUCUGUGACAACAACCAUAAUAGGAGAUGUGGGGCAGGAAGCAAAAUCAGCACCAAAGACAGAAACUGUGCAGAUGGGCCCACUCACCUUAGGGGUACCAAGCCUGCCAAUCACGUAGAAAAUGUAGCCACCCAGAGAACAACUCAACUGCAUUUUUGCAGUUUAUAUUUUCCAGAUUGGGUACAAAAACCCAGGAAAAAGAAGUUAAGUGUGGGUUACAGAUGAGGCUUAGUUAAGAAAAGGUAUUUUCAUCAUCAAAUGUAAAUAUUUCUAACUAUUAUGUAUCAAUGACUUUUAAGAAAACUUUGUUUUAAACUGCAUUUGCCACAGUUUUCAUAUGGGAUAUAAAUGAAAAAGAUGGAGUACAUUUACAACAGUUAUUAGUUUUUCUAUAGAUGCAACUAAAUUUAUUCUGAUGAUAGUCUACAGUUUUUAAAGUUGUCUAUUGCUCUAUCAUUGGCUGGCUGAUAGAGCAAUUAUAUAUAUUUACCUAGUAAAUUAUAAACUUGAGUGAAAUUAGAGUUUGUUAUUUUACCAGUUAUCACUUAUUUACUGGUACAAUGAAACCUUUUAUUUCUACCUCCACAAAUAAAAUCUAUGUUCCAAGGAACAAUCAUUUUUUUUAAAGUUCCAUUUCAAUUCUAUUUUAAAUAGCUGCUUAAGUAAAAAAACAUAACUCUUCAAUAUGAUUAUGAUUCUGUGCUUAAACCUUCCUUAAAACUUCCUUAAACCUUCCUGAAUAAAACAAAAAUUUUUUGUACUUAUCCCUUUUAAGUGUCAUCUAGACUAUAAAAAUCAUUUUAGUCUUACAAAUGGGAUUUUUAAAAAGAAAACCCAAACUCAGGGCAUUAAAUAUCUUUCCCAUAAGGUAAUCUAACAAAAAUGAUAAAAUAAUUAAGUACUUAUAUUUUCAUUUUUUAAAGACCACUAUCAUCUUUAAGCAGUUUUAAACUGGUAUAAUAAGCUUAACUUUUUUUUUUUUGGUCUUUUUAGGGCCGCACCCGCAUCAUAUGGGGGUUUGCCAGGUCAGGGUCGAAUCAGAGCUGUAACCACUGGCCUAUGCCACAGCCACAGCAACACUGGACCCGAGCCGUGUCUGUGACCUACACCAGAGUUCACUGGCAAGACCGGAAUCUUAACCCACUGAGCGAGGCCAGGGAUAGAAUCCGCAUCCUCAUGGAUGCUAAUUGGGUCAGCUAAACGCUGAGCCUCGUCGGGAACUCCAGACUUAACUUUUUGUGUCUGCAAACAAAAGAGAACUGAGGAAGCAAAUGAUGUUUCCUUUUAGCAAUUUUUAAGGUUAUGACAUGUAGAUGCAUGUUUGUGUUAUGCAAGUGUUGCAGGAGGGAUUGCUUGUUUCAUUCAUUGUUGUUUCUUUUUUUAUAUCUUACAAGCCAUUGGGAAUAUUUUUAUUACAAGCUUCACACUCAAGAAAAUGGCUGAAGAUUUGAAGGGAGGGGCCACACGCUCUUAGCAAUCCUUGUGUCCCAUCAAUUAUUGGUAGAAAAUCACACCAAGAAGACUUGUGGGCUAUAAUCUCCAUCAGCCAUGUUCUCAAGACAGAGUGGGACUUACUGAUAUGCAGGGCUACACCUUGUUAACUGUACACAUGUUUGUUAUCUGAUUUCAGGGAUGUACACAUGAUGUUAGCAAUAUCCAGUCAUCUCCGAAUUUCGUUGUCAAAUACACCAAUAUUGAAAGAGAUCGUUUUGGUCUAGAAACUUAAUAAGAUUUUGAGUGAGUAAAUAUAGCUAAUGUACAUCUGCCUUAAAUAGAGGUAUUUUUUUAAAUCUUUCUAUUUUAUUUUCUUUACAAAAAAAUGUGAAAGUAGGUGUCAUGUAAUUGAG
rnacentral:lncRNA from 1 species